GGGAAUAUAGCUCAGUGGUAGAGCAUUUGAAUAAUAUGUACAAAGUCCUGGGUUCAAUCCCAAUACUUCUU
rnacentral:tRNA from 1 species